UCCCAGGCACCCCGCCUGCCCAAGGGUGCCACAUCCAUCUCUCCUGCCAGAUCCAGGCUGAGGCUCACAGGGCACGUGAGCCUCUGCCCGAGCUGACCCUACAGAGCUGUUCUUUCUGACACAGUGCCGGGGGGCUGGUCAUGCUGGAGCCCCUGGUCUUGGUGUGACCGGAGCUGCGGAGGGGGCUGAUCUCUGAGGAGCCGGAGCUACUUGAGCCCCCCACCCAAAAAUGGGGGUGCCCCCUGUGCGGGAGAGAGGCAUCACACCCGGGUCUGCAAUCCCAUGCCCUGUGAGGAGGGCUGCCCAGCAGGCAUGGAACUGGUCAACUUGCCAACCGCUGCCCCCGCCGUUGCUCAGACCUGCAGGAUGGAGUGGUGUGUGAGGACCACCAGGCCUGCCAGCAAGGCUGCCGGUGCCCUGAGGGUGUGUGCCGCAGACCCUUCCAGGUCAUGGGGGGCUCAGCAGAAUGGCAGGUGGGCCCAGUGCUGUCAGCAGCAACCUUCACAGGCCACCUCCCUGCAGGGUCCCUGGAGCAGGAUGGCAGGUGCAUGUCACUCGGGCACUGUGAGUGCACAGAUGCCCAGGGCCACAGCUGGGCCCCAGGGAGCAAGCACCAAGAUGCCUGCAACAGCUGCUCCUGCCAGGCUGGACACCUCUCCUGCACAACCUUGCCCUGCCCACCACCUACCCACUGUACCUGGAGCCGCUGGUCAGCCUGGAGUCCCUGCAGCCACUCGUGUGGGCCCAGGGGAUAGCAGAGCCGCUUCCAGUAUGGGGGUG
rnacentral:lncRNA from 1 species